UUACAUAUGUAUGUUAUGUACCAAGAGGUGGCAAGAAGAACACUCUGCAUUGUACUGUACUGUAUGUGCCUAUCAAUUUAUGUACCAAUGGUUUGAGUUGUGAGUUUACAAUUUCCAUUUGCUUUAACCACAUUCUGAUAACUCUCUUAAGAUGGCCCCUGCUUUCUAUCUUGAUUUCGUUGCAAACGAGUGGCUUCGAUGCAGUAAAAAGUAGACCAAAACAAUAGAACUAGGUCCUAAUUCAGGGCUAUGUAUGCACACACCUCAUUAUUACUGAUUUGAAACCAUCGUCUUAUUUUGUUGUCUACACGGUGGUGGCUUGAAGAAGGGCCUUUCCAAGACUGAAUUGGCGAAUGUCGGCAUGCGCAAGCCUCUGUUCUUAGAUGAUGCUUCUAAGGUACUAAUUCUGUUCUUCCUAGGAAUAUGAGAAAUAUCAAUGGCAUGUCCGUCUAAUGGGUUCUAUUUGCUUUGGGACUUGGAAUUUCUAGAACCCUGACUUCCCCUAGGUGCAAAUUUCCAAUUAGAUGUUGUUAGCAUUGAAUUAGCUCCGUGCGCGCUCCGGAUUAGCCUCUCAACUAACUUGCUGACCCUGCUCCGAGUUACAGAUUGCACACUUAUUUCCUUGGAGAAAUAGUAGUGCUAUAAAUAUGGUUUGGGGGUUACUUUAUUUUCAUUUUCUUGUGGUAGGCUAGAGUUAGACUAUCAAGCUUCUUGGGUUUGACCGUUUCUUCCAUUUUAGUUUAGUCAAAUUGAGUUUCAUGUAAUUAGGUCAAGUAAAGUGGAUCUAUGAUAGUUCCAUGGUUCUGCCAGUGAAUUAUUUCUACCACUAGCUACAUUCUGUUCAUAUCGGUUGAUGCUGGAUUACUCAGGGAGGUCCUUUGAUUAAGUGAUGGUUUCACCUGUUAGCUGCUCGAUGGAGCAGAUCACUGGAUGGCCUCCAUUCCGUGAGUAGAUUUAUUCUACUAAUAUUUUUGAUGGGAUUUGUGGUCGUUUCAAUCGAUUAGGACAAAGCUAAUCUGACUAUGAUGAGAUUAAGUUUCAUGUUUUGACUGGAUAUUUGUGAGAAGACAUGAGACUGUAGUCCUCGUGUCGUUGGUGGCUAGCUCGAGCUUGUGUGUUAAUCAGAAAAUUAAUAAAUCCGCUGCCGAUGAGAAAUUUCUCUGGUGUGGUGCAAGUUAAUAUAUUCUGUACACAUAAAUGGUUAACAUAGUCUGUACCCGCCUCUUGGGUUAUUUUGUGAGUAGUGAUAGAUUGCUCCUGAUGAUGCCUCCUCUGCAGAUUUAUAGGAUUCAAGGUCCCC
rnacentral:lncRNA from 1 species